ACGGAAGGCAGCAGUGGGGAAUAUUGCACAAUGGGCGCAAGCCUGAUGCAGCGACGCCGCGUGAGUGAAGAAGUAUUUCGGUAUGUAAAGCUCUAUCAGCAGGGAAGAAAAUGACGGUACCUGACUAAGAAGCCCCGGCUAACUACGUGCCAGCAGCCGCGGUAAUACGUAGGGGGCAAGCGUUAUCCGGAUUUACUGGGUGUAAAGGGUGCGUAGACGGCUGUGCAAGUCAGAAGUGAAAUCCCGGGGCUUAACCCCGGUGCUGCUUUUGAAACUGUACGGCUAGAGUGCUGGAGGGGCAAGCGGAAUUCCUGGUGUAGCGGUGAAAUGCGUAGAUAUCAGGAGGAACACCGGUGGCGGAGGCGGCUUACUGGACGGUAACUGACGUUGGGGCUCGAAAGCGUGGGGAGCAAACAGGAUUAGAUACCCUGGUA
rnacentral:rRNA from 1 species